GUCAACUAGUUGUAAUCGACAUCUCAAGACGACAGCAUCCAUGUAUAUAGUGAUAUAGUUUUUGUGAAGUGAGAAAUAUUUAUUAUAAUCUUCCUUCCAGUGAAUUAAUUUCAAGAGAUUUACAUUGAACCGUAGAGUACGGUAAAAGAAAAUUGAAAAUUAACGCAUGAAGCAAGAAGGAAAAAUUUAAUAGAAAACGAAACAGAGAUUUACAAUUAUUUCAAAAAAUAUAGAUGUCUUGGUUUAAAUGCUGGUCCAGAUUUGAUAAACAUUGAUUUCAACUGUAUUUUUCCAAAUAACCACAUUUGAAAAGAUAUUCGCCAGGAAAUUGCACUUUUGCUAAGAAGCAAAUUAAAAAGUAAUGAAGACAAAGAGUCAAUUUACAAUAUUGAAAAAUUGUCAGAAGAGCAACAAGAUGCAGUGGUUCUUUAUUUACUGCCGAAACUUAUAAGACCAUCAUUUUUGAAAUACGGAGAUGAGCCAAGGGCAAAAAAAUCAGAUAAGGACAGCGAUUCAUCUGAAAAUACUUCAAAAUCUACGUGCAAUGAAAUACAAGAAUCGUUCAUUUU